UUAACACAUGCAAGUCGAACGCUGAAGCUUGGUGCUUGCACUGGGUGGAUGAGUGGCGAACGGGUGAGUAAUACGUGAGUAACCUGCCCUUGACUCUGGGAUAAGCCUGGGAAACUGGGUCUAAUACUGGAUAUGACCUCCUGUCGCAUGGUGGGGGGUGGAAAGGGUUUGUACUGGUUGUGGAUGGGCUCACGGCCUAUCAGCUUGUUGGUGGGGUAAUGGCCUACCAAGGCGACGACGGGUAGCCGGCCUGAGAGGGUGACCGGCCACACUGGGACUGAGACACGGCCCAGACUCCUACGGGAGGCAGCAGUGGGGAAUAUUGCACAAUGGGCGCAAGCCUGAUGCAGCGACGCCGCGUGAGGGAUGACGGCCUUCGGGUUGUAAACCUCUUUCAGCACGGAAGAAGCGAAAGUGACGGUACGUGCAGAAGAAGCGCCGGCUAACUACGUGCCAGCAGCCGCGGUAAUACGUAGGGCGCAAGCGUUGUCCGGAAUUAUUGGGCGUAAAGAGCUCGUAGGCGGUUUGUCGCGUCUGCUGUGAAAGCCCGGGGCUUAACCCCGGGUGUGCAGUGGGUACGGGCAGACUUGAGUGCAGUAGGGGAGACUGGAACUCCUGGUGUAGCGGUGAAAUGCGCAGAUAUCAGGAAGAACACCGAUGGCGAAGGCAGGUCUCUGGGCUGUUACUGACGCUGAGGAGCGAAAGCAUGGGGAGCGAACAGGAUUAGAUACCCUGGUAGUCCAUGCCGUAAACGUUGGGCACUAGGUG
rnacentral:rRNA from 1 species